UACGGAAGGCAGCAGUGGGGAAUAUUGCACAAUGGGCGCAAGCCUGAUGCAGCCAUGCCGCGUGUAUGAAAAAGGCCUUCGGGUUGUAAAGUACUUUCAGUCGUGAGGAAGGUGUUAAGGUUAAUAACCUUAGCAAUUGACGUUAGCGACAGAAGAAGCACCGGCUAACUCCGUGCCAGCAGCCGCGGUAAUAUGGAGGGUGCGAGCGUUAAUCGGAAUUACUGGGCGUAAAGGGCACGCAGGCGGUUAAUUAAGUUGGAUGUGAAAUCCCCGGGCUUAACCUGGGAAUGGCAUUCAAGACUGGUUAGCUAGAGUCUUGUAGAGGGGGUAGAAUUCCAUGUGUAGCGGUGAAAUGCGUAGAGAUGUGGAGGAAUACCGGUGGCGAAGGCGGCCCCUGGACAAAGACUGACGCUCAUGUGCGAAAGCGUGGGGAGCAAAC
rnacentral:rRNA from 1 species